rnacentral:lncRNA from 1 species
CUAGCGAUUGGGGUGCUAUUCGAGUAGGAGGAUCAUGCGUGCGGUCUAUCUGCUGACACGAUUCUUGAGUGAAGUCGCCUUUGAGUAUGGCGUAGAUACUAAGUCCAAGCGGGUGUGAUAGAAUGCCGGUGUCUCCUCUUCAUCUCCUUUUCAUUUAUUCCUCAACGCCGCGUUUACCACUAUUUCAAUGACCUAUUCGUGGUAGGUACCCAAUGGAAAAAUGCAUAUUCGACUCGUCCUCGAUAUUCGACGAAUGAAAUAAUACUCAUAGCCGAUAUGGCUAACAUUUCGCUGAAGUUGUUUCGCCACGAUGCUUUCAUUGGCUUUGAUAACUUGUAGCUAGUGGCAGUCCCCACAUAUCGGUCUUGUUCUAUAUGCGAGAGCGUAGAUAUCGCUGAAUGGGGGUUUUCUUUCCUAGAUAUGAGCUCAGUCUGGUUCCCCUGGGAUGCUAGACUUCUGAAACAGCAUAGGAGUGUUCAAGGCAUAUGCAUGCAUCGUUCUAACCAUUUCACAUAUGUUUUUAGAACUCCUCCUAUUCCCUUGCUCUCUGGCGGUGCCUAUUGGACAAAUGAACACGUUUUGAUGACUUUCGUGAUACUCUAAGCUCUCGCAAUGCUUCGCCGUACGCGUCCUAGCGUGCAUCCGUCCAUUCUUCAGUAACUGAUUCCAUUCACAAGUGUCAUGCCGACAUUUGAUCCGCUAGAAUGCGUCGAUAUUGCACCGAGCUAGGAAAUAACUCAUUGAAACGAAGCAAAUAUACUCAACACAGCGUCGAGAGAUUGGCUGGAGAGAGAGGGUGUGUGGAUGAUAUUAGUCAUAUGUAUCACGAGUUGACGAGAGUAUCUGAGAGUUUGGAAGUCGCCAGGUAUGGUCCUCGGAAAUAACAUGGUUGUGAGAUGAUCUUUAAUGCUCAAUAACUUUUCAGUUGAUUGAGCAAUGGCAGGUUUGGAACCGCAUAUAUAAAUCCCUUUUACUCAUGCUGAAAAACCACCCCAAGUUCAGUCAUUGUCCUAAAAACUAGCACCACACUGAAUUGAUUCCAUACUACCAAUCGAGAACAUUCGUCCAAAUCUGGUGUCAUUAUGAAUCCUCCUAGAAGCCUUCCAGAGAACCCAUGGGCCCAUACCAUGACCCAGAGAGCAAUACCAUGCAAGCAUUCAAGACUUAGGGGUUCGGUCCCUUGCCUCGCCGAAACUCCAUUUUCUUUUCCAGUACGCUGGCCUUUGUCCUACGCCUUUCAUUUGUACUUGCUGACCCGGUCCGUUGUCUGGCCUUAGAUGCCUGGUGUACAGUGUCAAACCUGCAAGCAGGCUGGUCGUGAAACAUGGGUAAUACCUGGCAAGGCAUGCCACAUCUGUGGAACCCUCUGUGGAUUGCUGGUAGAUGGUAUGUUUGUAUGAGGAAUAAGUCGACAUGAUGAAAUGCUGACUGGCUAUAACAGAGGACGAGAUCGAAUCCGAGUAGGGAAAGAAAGAUAUGGCAGCGAGUAUAAAGUAUAGGAUGAUCAGGAGCGUCCUGUCUAUACACUGAACAGGUUAACGAUAUCAUGACGAGUUCGCUGUUGGAGAUUGAGAUGAGGGAAGCUUGGGACCUCGAUUUCCUUUGUGGUGGUGCUUCGUCUUUUUGUAUCACAAUGAAUACAAUAAUAAUUGCUUCUUGGAUUUCGAACGAUUUGAUGAAGAAGACCGGCGAAGUAAUUUCGUUCAGAGUUGUCGUUGGCGAAGAGACUCAUGGCUCUGACUCGGGUUAUGGUCGGGCCUUCUGCAAUGUAGCAGAUUGUAUCUCGCUUAAUAGGGGGAGUAUGCUGGCUUGGUAAGUUGACGUUGCUCAGCUCACUGUUCUAGUAUUACGGGGAAGAAAUCGGCGCUGAGCGAAGAGCACACCGACCCUUAGGUACUCAGUGCUGCCAAUAGGCAGGCAACCACCUUCCCCCUGAGCCGUGUAAACCACCUUGGACUCUAAAAGCCACCUCAAAGAACACCUUUCUACCACGCUAGUAUGUUCUUCCUUUUGUUUGCAUUGACUUCGGCUGGUUGCUGUAGAACUUAUUACUGGGAAACGUGGAAGGGGUGGGCUCGAUCAGACCGUUCGCAAGACAACCUCUGGUGGACGAUUAUGAUGGCUCGGCAUAGUGUGGACUGGAUGCUUCAGGCUCGUAAGAGGUUUCUUGGAGUUGAUAUGUUUUUGUUACACGCCCUCUGAAACAUGUCGGAAGGGAAAUGCAAAAGUUCGAUAUAUGUUCAUAUGUGAGGAAGUCUGCGAGGCGCGUUUUGUUUUCGGCGCUCUCCACAAGCGGCUGCGGGUUUUGCUGGCUUUAUCUCUCAGGAGGUCCGAACAACCCUAAAGAAAAUCGACAUGCAGAAUUUUCGGUAUUAUAGCCGACAAGGAACAAGACGGAUUUCCCA